rnacentral:rRNA from 1 species
UACGAAGGGUGCAAGCGUUACUCGGAAUUACUGGGCGUAAAGCGUGCGUAGGUGGUUUUUUAAGUCCGUUGUGAAAGCCCUGGGCUCAACCUGGGAAUGGCAGUGGAUACUGGAAGGCUAGAGUGCGGUAGAGGGUAGUGGAAUUCCCGGUGUAGCAGUGAAAUGCGUAGAGAUCGGGAGGAACACCAGUGGCGAAGGCGGCUACCUGGACCAGCACUGACACUGAGGCACGAAAGCGUGGGGAGCGAACAGG